UACGAAGGGGGCGAGCGUUGUUCGGAUUUACUGGGCGUAAAGGGCGCGCAGGCGGCUCAUUUUGUCAGGCGUGAAAGCCCCGGGCUUAACCUGGGAACUGCGUUUGAUACGGAUGGGCUAGAGUUCGGGAGAGGAGAGUGGAAUUCCCAGUGUAGAGGUGAAAUUCGUAGAUAUUGGGAAGAACACCGGUGGCGAAGGCGGCUCGCUGGACCGAGACUGACGCUGAGGCGCGAAGGCGUGGGGAGCAAACAGG
rnacentral:rRNA from 1 species